AACGAACGCUGGCGGCAUGCCUAACACAUGCAAGUCGAACGAGACCUUCGGGUCUAGUGGCGCACGGGUGCGUAACGCGUGGGAACCUGCCCUUAGGUUCGGAAUAACUCCCCGAAAGGGGUGCUAAUACCGGAUAAUGUCUUCGGACCAAAGAUUUAUCGCCUUUGGAUGGGCCCGCGUUGGAUUAGCUAGUUGGUAGGGUAAAAGCCUACCAAGGCGACGAUCCAUAGCUGGUCUGAGAGGAUGAUGAGCCACACUGGGACUGAGACACGGCCCAGACUCCUACGGGAGGCAGCAGUGGGGAAUAUUGGACAAUGGGCGAAAGCCUGAUCCAGCAAUGCCGCGUGAGUGAUGAAGGCCUUAGGGUUGUAAAGCUCUUUUACCCGGGAUGAUAAUGACAGUACCGGGAGAAUAAGCUCCGGCUAACUCCGUG
rnacentral:rRNA from 1 species